rnacentral:tRNA from 1 species
CCCCUGAUGGUCCAGUGGCUAAGACUCCAUGCUCCCAAUGCAGGAGGCCCAGGUUCAAUUCCUAGUCAGGGAA